UACAGAGACUGCAAGCGUUAUUCGGAUUCACUGGGCGUAAAGGGUGCGCGGGCGGCCAGGUGUGUUAGGCGUGAAAGCCCGGGGCUUAACCCCGGAAUUGCACCUAAAACUACUUGGCUAGAGCAUUGGAGAGGGUAGCGGAAUUCACGGUGUAGCAGUGAAAUGCGUAGAUAUCGUGAGGAACACCAGAGGCGAAGGCGGCUACCUGGACAAUUGCUGACGCUCAGGCACGAAAGCGUGGGGAGCAAACAGG
rnacentral:rRNA from 1 species